rnacentral:rRNA from 1 species
AGUGAACGCUGGCGGUAGGCCUAACACAUGCAAGUCGAACGGCAGCACAGUAAGAGCUUGCUCUUACGGGUGGCGAGUGGCGGACAGGUGAGGAAUACAUCGGAAUCUACUUUUUCGUGGGGGAUAACGUAGGGAAACUUACGCUAAUACCGCAUACGACCUACGGGUGAAAGCAGGGGAUCUUCGGACCUUGCGCGAUUGAAUGAGCCGAUGUCGGAUUAGCUAGUUGGCGGGGUAAAGGCCCACCAAGGCGACGAUCCGUAGCUGGUCUGAGAGGAUGAUCAGCCACACUGGAACUGAGACACGGUCCAGACUCCUACGGGAGGCUGCAGUGGGGAAUAUUGGACAAUGGGCGCAAGCCUGAUCCAGCCAUACCGCGUGGGUGAAGAAGGCCUUCGGGUUGUAAAGCCCUUUUGUUGGGAAAGAAAAGCAGCAGGUUAAUACCCCGCUGUUCUGACGGUACCCAAAGAAUAAGCACCGGCUAACUUCGUG